GACGAACGCUGGCGGCGUGCUUAAUACAUGCAAGUCAACGACUUUUAGAGUAGCAAUAUUUUAAAAGGAGUGGCGCACGGGUGAGUAACACGUAGGUAAUCUGCCUUCAGGACUGACACAACUCGUCGAAAGACGGGCUAAUAUCAGAUAAUGCAGCGGCUCCGCAUGGAGACAGUUUGUUAAAGUACAAGCGCCUGAAGAUGAGCCUGCGGUCCAUUAGCUAGUUGGUAGAGUAACAGCCUACCAAGGCAACGAUGGAUAGCUGGUCUGAGAGGAUGAUCAGCCACACUGGAACUGAGACACGGUCCAGACUCCUACGGGAGGCAGCAGUAAGG
rnacentral:rRNA from 1 species